AUUCCAAUUGCCCAAGACACUGUGCAAAGCAGCUGUGGCCCUACAGCCAAGGUCAGAACAUUCAACUACCUAGGGCAGCCCUGGCUCAGCUGGGCCUGACUGAUCUCUGGCGUUCAUACUUUCAACCUGCAAUUUUAAAUUUCGUAAUUUCUAAAGAAAGGGCCCCUUUCCCAUGAAUUCUCAGUUUAGGAGGCAGGGAACCAAAGCACACUGCAGUUAGUGACCGCUAUGACCAGCACCGUAGGCUGCGGACAGCGCCACGCCGACCCAUGGGCUUCGCGCCCGGUUCUGGAUCCAGCCCGGACUCUGCGUUCCCAGUGCUUUCGGCUCAACCCAGCAAUCCAGAAACGCCCCAGCAACUUUCGGCUCAACCCCUCCUAAGUCCUUACCCCGUCAAAGUUUGAGCUUCUCGGCGCGCCUGGAUCUGGAAGAACGUCUCCUCGCUCGCUCUGGGCUUUGGGCAGCAGCUCCUCAGCUCCAGGACCCUCCUGUGGGGCCAGUGGGCAGAGUAACCUGUUGCCUCCUUUGACUGGGAGAGUCAGCUGAGGCGCUUGAGAUUCAAAAGAAAUAACGAAAAGGGCCGAAGCCACUCGCUUGUAUCUAGCUCUCCUCCAAAGGACGAGGGGGUGGCAGGAAGCAAGAAAGCAAAGUCCAGCUGUCAACUUUGGAUUUUCUCCUGAUCUCUAGUGGACACCACAGACGGCUUCCAGGAGUCUGCACUGAGUAAGGACAGCAAGGAUGUGGCAGCUUGAAGUUUAAGGUGCUGUGUGUGUGUGUAUGUGUGUGUGUGUGUGUGUGUGUGUGUGUGUUACACUCAUCUACAAUCUUAAUGAGGCUUUUAGAAACAAGUUUGUCUUGAGAUGUAUAUUCUUGCCCAUUUUGUUUCCUUCUAUACUCGCAGAACCAAAAUUUUAAACCCACCAACCCAGCUAGUAUUUCCUACUUUGUAGGAACUCUCCUUGGAAAUAAGGAGUUUUUGCAAUAAAACUUUGCAGUUCCCCAAAUUUGAUUUAUAUACAGUAGGUGCAGGUGUACAGGACAAUGCUGCUAAGAGUGGGUUACCUACAGGGUAGAACACCUGCCUAGCCACGUGGUCCUAGGUUCAACCACUAUCUGGGAAAAAGAGGAGGAAGGGGAAGAGAAGGAGGAAGGGAGGAGGAAGAGGAAAGAUUGAAUCCCACCUCUCCAUCACUACAGUAGUGAUGUGUGGCUCUGAAGCCCCACAACGAGUCCCAGGGGCAAGCUGUGCCCUCUUAUCUGACAAGGACUGGACAAUCUCCUGAGUUUCAUGUUCUUAUGGCCAAUAUACCACAAAGGAAAAGGAAAACAAAAUAAAACAAAAC